rnacentral:rRNA from 1 species
AACGUAGGGGGCGAGCGUUAUCCGGAAUCACUGGGCGUAAAGGGCGUCUAGGCGGCGAGCAUAAGUCCUGCGUGAAAGCUCCCGGCUCAACUGGGAGAGCGCGUGGGAGACUGUCUGGCUAGAGACUCGGAGAGGGGUGUGGAAUUCCCGGUGGAGUGGUGAAAUGCGUUGAGAUCGGGAGGAACACCAGAGGCGAAGGCGGCACCCUGGCCGAGGUCUGACGCUGAAGCGCGACAGCGUGGGGAGCGAACGGG